rnacentral:rRNA from 1 species
CCUACGGGAGGCAGCAGUGGGGAAUAUUGCACAAUGGGGGGAACCCUGAUGCAGCGACGCCGCGUGAGUGAAGAAGUAUUUCGGUAUGUAAAGCUCUAUCAGCAGGGAAGAAAAUGACGGUACCUGACUAAGAAGCCCCGGCUAACUACGUGCCAGCAGCCGCGGUAAUACGUAGGAUGCGAGCGUUAUCCGGAUUUAUUGGGUUUAAAGGGUGCGUCGGCGGACUGUUAAGUCAGCGGUAAAAGCCCGGGGCUCAACCCCGGCGAGCCGUUGAAACUGGCUGUCUUGAGAGGUCGAGAGGUAUGCGGAAUGCGCAGUGUAGCGGUGAAAUGCUUAGAUAUUGUGAAGAACUCCGAUUGCGAAGGCAGCAUACCGGCGGCGAUCUGACGCUGAGGCACGAAAGCGUGGGUAUCGAACAGGAUUAGAUACCCCAGUAGUC